rfam:Gossypium raimondii chromosome 9, whole genome shotgun sequence.
AUUCCAUGAUGAGGGUACUUCCAUAAUAAUUUUUUGUACCUUUCCCAUGCCUCAUACAAUGACUCAUAAUCCAUUUGUUGGAAAGUAUUGAUCUCGUUUCUCAAAUU